ACUCUAGAGAGACUGCCAGGGAUAACCUGGAGGAAGGUGGGGAUGACGUCAAAUCAUCAUGCCCCUUAUGCUUAGGGCUACACACGUGCUACAAUGGGUAGUACAGAGGGUUGCCAAGCCGUAAGGUGGAGCUAAUCCCUUAAAGCUACUCUCAGUUCGGAUUGUAGGCUGAAACUCGCCUACAUGAAGCUGGAGUUACUAGUAAUCGCAGAUCAGAAUGCUGCGGUGAAUGCGUUCCCGGGUCUUGUACACACCGCCCGUCACACCACGGGAGUUGGAGACGCCCGAAGCCGAUUAUCUAACCUUUUGGAAGAAGUCGUCGAAGGUGGAAUCAAUAACUGGGGUGAAGUCGUAACAAGGUAGCCGUAUCGGAAGGUGCGGCUGGAUCACCUCCUUUCUAAGGAGA
rnacentral:rRNA from 1 species